GUCAGUGUAGCUCAGGGUAGAGCACAGGAUUCAUAUCUCUGCGGUCGGUGGUUCAAAUCCACCCAUUGACACCA
rnacentral:tRNA from 1 species